UAUUCCUUUUAUUUGUUACUUCAGGCUGUUAUUCCAGACUUGGGGGGCUAUUCAAGUUUAUGUAUAAGCACCACAGCUAUUUUAAUCAUUGUGUUAUUGGACCAUCCCUCACAUUUCACACAGACCAAAAAAAACACUUGAGGUAUAAUAAAAAUCAAACCCAUUGAUCUAGCCAACCAGAACUGCACUGAAGAAAGUAUAAUUUGAAGUUACUCACUCUCUUUAAAUGUGCUGUUUGUCUGUCUCUGAUAUGCCAUGCCUGUGUUAAUGCAUAGAUGAUCCAGAGAGCUUCCAGCUGGAGGUCAGUGGCCUCCUCAAAGAGGUGGCCUGUCCAUAUCCAACACUAAUCUCUGGAGAUAUAAAGGACAGACUGAAGAAAAAAGAAGACUGUCUGAAACCGAGUUUACAGGCACAGACCGACAACACGGCGAAAGCAUAUCAGCCCAAUAGACAUGCACUGUCAAUCCAGUCCCUCAUCAGUGUUGCACAUCUGCUGGCUGCACAAGAAGACUUUUCCAAUAUCAUAAAGACAAGUAGUGGAUCUACUCGAGAAAGGACAGCAUGUCCUAUUAGCAAGGCUAUUUAAGCAUGGUAUGACAUGCAAGAUGUACCCAAGCUACAGUGCAGGGCACCAGCUGGAAAACCAGAAAUACCACAUGGAAUUGUGUUAUCUGUUAGUGUCAAGUGAACGGUGAGUAUGACGUUUUGAGAUAGGCAUCGUAUUAACUUGUAUCAUGUAAUAUGUACAAUAUUCUGUAUACAUGCAUACAUUAAAAUAUGGUAACUUUACUAGAAACCAAAAAAGUACAAAUCUGAACACUAUUGUUUACUGUGACAAGUUGCCUCAUGCAAAGAGCAGUGUUCUGUAAUAACAGUAGUAAUCACUGUAUCAAUCUGUUCAAGGUAAGCAUGGAUGUGCCUUUCUUGAUGUGGACAGUGUUGCCAUCAACCAAAAUUAAGUUGGAGCCGACUGCACUAAUAUAAGCUCUCACAAUUGUAUGCAGGAUCUCAUCUGCAUGCCUAACAACAGUGAGGGGACAUUCUGGGAGACCUGCAGGUCUGUGCUUCCCUCUAUGUUGAUUCCAGUUCUAACUUGUGGUCAUUUGUCAAUUGGGUAGCGUUUGUGAAAGGUCACCAUGUGACUCUUUUUAGGACUUCUUCCCGUGGGAUUGUGCUUCUUGUGCAUUCCCCACCAUGCCUGAUAAAACAAUGUUUGGUGGGUGUGGCACUUUCUCUUGUUAUCAGGGUCUAAUAAAUGACUUCAUGAACCACCUGCUGUUAUUCCUCAUUUUCCACCUGUAAAUGGUAUCAAAUCAGCCAGUAAAUAAAUUAAUAGCACAGUAUGGAACUCCUCUGUUGAAAAUCCUAAGCAAACCUUUAGUAUAUGUAUUUUUUAUGACAAAAUAUCUCAUAAUAUUUAUCAGCUAACCUUGUAUCAAAUAAUGUUAUGCUCUUUACAAUUUGCAAAGAUAAAGUUGGUUGUGCUUUUUGUUAUUUGUGUUCAUUUGAAGUGUAUUGCAACUUGCAUUUUAAUUUAGGGUUAACCUGAACUGCACAGCUUGAAUCACUUUUGAUCGAAAACCUAUUGCAAAACAAAUGAGUAGAAAAUGAUAAAUGAAUGCUGUUUCCUCAUAGUUUUUCUUUAUGGAAUGAUGUCCUUUUUGAAAAAUACAGACAUAUGUGUAUUGUUAAGCUUAUAUCUCCUGAUUUGUCUUUUUUUUUCUCUAAAUACUACUGUGAAAUAUUCUUUGCAUCUAUUUUGUUUUCAUUUUCAAUAAAUAUAGGCGAU